GUUUUGGUUUUGUUUUCCCAGAGGCUGCCAUAUGGUCUUUGAGUACGGGGAUGUCCCAAACUGGCCCACCAAUGAGCAUGGCGGCUCCGGCCAGGAAUGCCAGAGUUAGCCUCCCAGGCUUGCGGGUGGACAUGCCUGCUCCCUGCCAGCCUCCAGUGGCCUGGCCAGGCCCUCCCGAGCCUGUCUGCCCUCCCCAGGGGUGGAGGAGUCUCUGGGCCCCAGGAGGAUUCCCUCCCGGAGACUCGCACGGUGCUCCCUGCUCACGCGUUGUCACAGUUAGUCCGGAAAUGACUGAAACCAGGCAUUCUCCCGGACCUCAGCGUGGGGGAGCCUCCAGGCAGACGCUGGGUAUGGAGCUGUGGUGUGGUCUGUCCUGUAUGGUGGCCAGUGCUUUCUGCCAGCAUUUCUGGAUGGAUAUAGGGACUAUCAUUAGUAUCCUAAUACACGGUGAUUUUAAAACAACCAUAAAAUUGAUUCAGAGUCCACUGACCCUUACAGAUGUAGGUAUACCCUUACUGGAGAGGGAACUCUGAUGAGGAGAUGCUGGUAAAUUAUCAUUUUUUAAAUUGCUGGUGAGUCUGACACUUGGUGAGUUUUCAGCCAGUUUGUUAAACUUUUAAUUAAGUUUUGUUUAUAAUAAAAAUAUAAAUGGAUUUGAAAGUUUCCAUUUUUUAAAGUUACCCUCGUUUUCAAAGGUAUUUUCUAAACAGAUCUUUAAUGGACUAUUUAAACCGAAUUUAAGGAAUUCACACACGACAGUUGACAGGUCUUCACGCAGGCUGGUUGGUAACGUGCUGCCAGCACAGGGCUGGGUGAUACGUACACCCUAAGCCGGGGGUGCCUGGGGCUGGGGGGCGCUCCUUGCAAUGCCCCUCCAGCCACAGGGCAGUGAGGUGCUGCCUGUGUGAGCCGUCGGGGGAGCGGCCGGCUGUGGGGGCAGCGCAGCAGGAGCAUCGUGGGGCCUUUCCUUCUCGGCUGGUUCUCUGUGACGGUGGCGUCGGCUCGCCUCUGCUCCUUUCAUCUAGAAAGAAGCCACUGACCCUGACAGCCCACGGCGGGUACACUGAGCAGCUGCAUUGGUGCUGUCACUUUUUUAAGGCUUUCUGUCCAGACUUCAACACUGGUUUCUUUUCAGAGUUUCGAAGGAUUAAUGACUUCCUCAGCGCCCUUGCUGGCGGGCUGAGGGUGACAGUCACGUCCGUUUCUUCUGUAUUAGAAGGCUGCGGUGAUUCAAUUAGAUUGUCCCACUGCUGAGACCUGUAGGGCAGCUUCUAACAUGCUUUUUUCAAGGGGAGAGGAGUAGUGACAAGUCGUGUGUCGGAAUUGGAUUUGAGAACACUCUGAAUGACCCCUGGAGGCCGAGGGGGCAGGCUUCGGGCGUGAACUGAACUCCAGACCCCUCUUUGUGUUGGGCAGUGUCAUCUUGCUUACAAACUGUAAGACACAUUUUUUUGUGUGUUUGUUUUUGUUGUUGUUCUUUUGCAGCACUCACGCCUCUGACAGUCUUUUGGGAAAGAGUAACACCCACAUACAGAAUUUGUCACAUCCAGAGUAGCACUGUUCCUUAAUACUGGCAUAAUGCUUCCAGGAAGUUUUUCUUUUUUAUAUUUAAAAUGUUACUUUUCUGUAUGAUGUGCAUGCAAGUUUACCGUAACUUUUCUUAAACUUUUUAGUGCCGUUUCUAGUAUAUUCCUGUAAAUGUCAGUUACUGAAAAUGAGUCCAAUGUAAGUAGUUUAGCUUGUUUAUUGCAAUGCUGGCCUCAACACAACAGAAUAAAAAUGGUAGAAAGUACUCUUUGAUGUUUCUGGUAAUCAUGGACCC
rnacentral:lncRNA from 1 species